AUUUAAUUAAAUUUUCGUUCUUGGUAAUUUUAUUCUGUUCGCAGCUAAUUAAUUUACCGGUUUCCAUGUAAAAAUAAUUAAUCGCCUCCUUUACGCUAGUUUGCCUCCGCAAUUUAUUUUUAAAAAUACAUUCUAAGUCUUCGGCUUGUUGGAAAUAUUUCCUUUGUGUGCAGGUAAGUUGCGACUUUUCCAGUCUGGCACGGUAUUUUUUUUUUAUUUUGUUUUUUUUAUGCUCUCGUUUUCGCCCCUGUUGCUUGGCCCGACACUCUUCUACUUAAUUAGCAAAAUCGGCGGAGAUGAGCGAGUGAAACAUGGCAGGAUUAUUAACGAUAUUUGUCGAGGAUUUACGUACGAUCAGGCGAGACGAAAAAUUUCGAUUGGUGCCGUGAUUAGUCUGAUGUAUUUGGCCAUUAGUAAUGAACGACCCACUGUUUUUUUUCCCCCUCUCCAUUCCCAUCGGGAAGUGAAGCUUGGACGAUAACUAUAGACACGCAAUACGUCGCACUUAUUAAGAGAUCAGAAAAUCUGCUGCUAAUUGUCGACAGUCCUUAAAUAUCGAGUGACUCUACUCACGUGGUUUAUAGACCUACUCUCCACUACCACUACCAAUAUUCGUUAGGCAUCAGAAGCCAUUUUUAAAUGGCUAGCCUUUCGAAAUUUUAAAAAUUAUUCCCGUUAAAUUGGAGAUGUUUUUUUUACCAUUAUCCGGAUGAUUAGUGUUUUAAUGUGUAAAUUUAUUUCAUUCGAAAUUUUAUGUGGUAAAGGUCGAAGGUGGUUAACUGCGGAUUGGUAGUUUAGUUGAAAUAAUCCGAUGCAUUUUCUUAUUCUUGUUCACCUCGUUUACUUGUAAUCCAUCUAUAGCAGUUUAAUUUAAAAAAAAAAAAAUAAUAUUUGUAUAACUCUGAUCCAAAAAAAUAAUUUUAUGUCUAAAAAUUUUGUAUAUUUUGCGCCUUCCAGAUAUUUUUCUCGUCCCAAUUGUUUGCCUUUAUUUAAAUUAUUCGAAACAGAAUAAAUGCCUGAUUUCCUUACAUUAACUCUACAACCUCUGUUGUAGAGGUUACCUUGUAUGUUUACC
rnacentral:lncRNA from 1 species